rnacentral:rRNA from 1 species
UACGAAGGAGGCUAGCGUUGUUCGGAAUCACUGGGCGUAAAGGGCGCGUAGGCGGCCGAUCAAGUCGGGGGUGAAAGCCUGUGGCUCAACCACAGAAUUGCCUUCGAUACUGUUUGGCUUGAGACCGGAAGAGGUUAGUGGAACUGCGAGUGUAGAGGUGAAAUUCGUAGAUAUUCGCAAGAACACCAGUGGCGAAGGCGGCUGACUGGUCCGGUUCUGACGCUGAGGCGCGAAAGCGUGGGGAGCAAACAGG